CUGAGAUUUGACCUCGUCUAAGUGGGUGGUGUGUGCAGUCUUUCUCAAAGCUAGUGAAUGUGGCCGUGCCUGCUUGAUAGAUCAUCGGGGUGGAGGCGAAGCUGCGCAGCUGAAUGUAUCGGAAGUGGUCAAAUGCCGUGAGAGUAUCAGCGUCUUUGAUUUCCGAGUAUUGAAUUACCUUAUUGUUCUGAUAUAGGUGGC